AACGAACGCUGGCGGCAUGCCUAACACAUGCAAGUCGAACGAGACCUUCGGGUCUAGUGGCGCACGGGUGCGUAACGCGUGGGAACCUGCCCUUAGGUUCGGAAUAACUCCCCGAAAGGGGUGCUAAUACCGGAUAAUGUCUUCGGACCAAAGAUUUAUCGCCUUUGGAUGGGCCCGCGUUGGAUUAGCUAGUUGGUAGGGUAAAAGCCUACCAAGGCGACGAUCCAUAGCUGGUCUGAGAGGAUGAUCAGCCACACUGGGACUGAGACACGGCCCAGACUGCUACGGGAGGCAGGGGUAGGGAAUAUUGGACGAGGGGCGAAAGCCUGAUCCAGCAGUGCCGCGUGAGUGAUGAAGGCCUUAGGGUUGUAAAGCUCUUUUACCCGGGAUGAUAAUGACAGUACCGGGAGAAUAAGCACCGGCUAACUCCGUG
rnacentral:rRNA from 1 species